UACGUAGGGGGCAAGCGUUGUCCGGAAUCAUUGGGCGUAAAGCGCGUGUAGGCGGCCCGGUAAGUCCGCUGUGAAAGUCCAGGGCUCAACCCUGGAAUGCCGGUGGAUACUGUCGGGCUCGAGUCCGGAAGAGGCGAGUGGAAUUCCUGGUGUAGCGGUGAAAUGCGCAGAUAUCAGGAGGAACACCGAUGGCGAAGGCAGCUCGCUGGGACGGUACUGACGCUGAGGUGCGAAAGCGUGGGGAGCAAACAGG
rnacentral:rRNA from 1 species